GGUCAAGCUACAAAGGGCUCACGGUGGAUACCUUGGCACACAGAGGCGAUGAAGGACGUGGUUACCUGCGAAAAGUCUCGGGGAGCUGGAAACACGCUUUGAUCCGGGAAUCUCCGAAUGGGGCAACCCCUAGAACGGCCACCUGAAUCCAUAGGGUGGCGCGAGCCAACCCAGCGAACUGAAACAUCUUA
rnacentral:rRNA from 1 species